rnacentral:rRNA from 1 species
UAGGGAAUCUUCGGCAAUGGACGGAAGUCUGACCGAGCAACGCCGCGUGAGUGAAGAAGGUUUUCGGAUCGUAAAGCUCUGUUGUAAGAGAAGAACGAGUGUGAGAGUGGAAAGUUCACACUGUGACGGUAUCUUACCAGAAAGGGACGGCUAACUACGUGCCAGCAGCCGCGGUAAUACGUAGGUCCCGAGCGUUGUCCGGAUUUAUUGGGCGUAAAGCGAGCGCAGGCGGUUAGAUAAGUCUGAAGUUAAAGGCUGUGGCUUAACCAUAGUAGGCUUUGGAAACUGUUUAACUUGAGUGCAAGAGGGGAGAGUGGAAUUCCAUGUGUAGCGGUGAAAUGCGUAGAUAUAUGGAGGAACACCGGUGGCGAAAGCGGCUCUCUGGCUUGUAACUGACGCUGAGGCUCGAAAGCGUGGGGAGCAAACAGGAUUAGAUACCCUGGUAGUCCACGCUGUAAACGAUGAGUGCUAGGUGUUAGACCCUUUCCGGGGUUUAGUGCCGUAGCUAACGCAUUAAGCACUCCGCCUGGGGAGUACGACCGCAAGGG